GUUUUAUUUACAAUAAAAUUUUAUGCUGUUCGAUUCAGUAGGGUCUG
rnacentral:rRNA from 1 species